rnacentral:tRNA from 1 species
GAGGAGCAAGCAGAAAUGUGUGCGGCUAGCUUGAAAUUAGAUGGAGGGGGUGCAAAGCCCUCGCUUCUCA